CAGCCUGGUCGCGCGGUGGUGGCACAGCUUGUGUGCGUGAUGUGCGUUCUUUGUGUGAGUGCCUGCGUGCGUGCAUCCUCUGAUCCCUCUUUUGUGAUUGCAGGGACUGAAAUCUCACUUUGUGGUGCCACUCAUCCAUAAACUUGUCAAUUCCAUUGGAGAAAAUGAUGGUGAGGAUGAGUCUUGGUGAUGUGGGUACUGGCUAUGGCUUCCUUGUGCGGAACCUCAUGUUAGGCUACUACACCAGGCUCAUCGCUUUCGUCAGGGACUACCGCCAUAGAAUUGACAUGGAGCACAGACCAUAGAAGCAGGCCGGAGUUCUGCUGGAGGACCGUCAAGCUCGACCAGCAACCUGGGUUAACAUGUGUUGAUUUGUAAGUCAUCUUUCAAGAAGUUGAUAUGGACAAAGGAGGAUUAUACCAACUCUAGUUGCCUUCAAGAAGUCACGAGAAGAGGCAUCCAACAAAAGUUUCGAGUUUUGAGGAAGGCGGUAGCUAAGAGUCAGACCCACACAGUCUCUAUUGAUGACCUCUAAAAUUAAAAAAAAGUUGUUUUAUUGGAUGACUAUGUAGCUUGGGUUAUUUUGGAUGGAGCAUGUAAGUGUAAUGUGUAAUAUGCACGCUGUAUAGAGACUAGUUGGCUUGUAAUAUGAUGUGAAAAUUGGUCAAUGGAA